rnacentral:lncRNA from 1 species
AUCAAGAUCGCCUUCUGCCAUACUCCGCCGUCUCCCCACUCCUCCUCCUCCGCAUCGCCGGCGCCGCGCUUAUUCUUCUUCUUAUGAAUUAACGUGUUGCUUAUGUUCUUCAGAAACCGCUUCGGGCGAAGCUGGGGUGACCUUAACUCUAAUCGCGGCAACUGCUUCGAUUUCAGUUUUAUUUGAAGCUUUUUUGAUACUCUGUUCGCUUGUUUCGCACAGAGCGCCAUCAGAGUCGAUAAAGAGACGAUCAAAGUCGCUGCUGCUCGCCUUGGCGUUGCUAGGACAGAGCCACCGCCGGAGAUGGAGGUGGAGCCGCCGCGUUCCGGAGUGGAUUGACUCAUGCUUGAGGAAAAUUGGAAAUGGGAAAAGGUUAAUUAAAAACUUUCGAUUUAGGGAUAUUAUUAUUAUUUGAGAAGAAGUGAAGUUUUUGAAUUUGAGAACUUUGGUUUGUAUUUAUAGUGGUCUUAGUCAUCGUUAAUUAGAACAUCUAGAAAGAAACGACACCGUAUGACCUCGUCAGUUUAAUUUUUAUAAUUAACAAAAAGUGGAUUAUUUUUUCAUUUUUCGAUUUUCUUUUUCUAUAUUUCAACGGACUAGAUUUGAAGAUAUGACAAUAAGAUAUUGUGAAAAAUAAAUAAAUUGUUGAAGUAAACCACAUUUGAUUUUUGGCGAUAAAAAAACAAAAAAGAUGGAAUCUUCAUUGAAUUAAAAUAUAUAUAUGUACAAAUAAAAUACAUAAUUAUAAAGAGUUGAAGACUUAAAAGUAUUUAUAUAAUUCAAUCAAAUAUUUGAUAUCUUGAAUCUUUCAAAGUAGUUUUAGAGUCUAGUGGUCACCUCACCUAGAAGCCCAAGAGCUUAAACCUUAAGCCUUUGAAACAUUUUUCUAAACUAUAUCGUUAAUUAAGAUUUGAAAAUUAUCUUCCAAGUUGAAAAACAUUCCCUUCUAAAUAAAUAGCCAUAAUUUUAAUUUAAAGUUGUCUUGUAAAGAGAAAUAAAAACACGUGUAUAUAUUAAGAGGAGAUAGUGGAGCAAUGAUUUAAGAUUAAUAAAGCAAGUGAAUUCAUAUUUAGAGGUUAAUUAUUGUUUAAUUAAAGGAUUUGUGUUGAUGUGAAAAUCGUGGUGGAUUUUUAGGUUUUCCACUAAAUACAGCGGAUAAAAAUGGAAAAGAGCACUAGAGAGAGAGAUUAGUGGGAUUCAUCUCGUUUGCCACGUGUCAGAGAGGGAGAAGAGAGAUUGCAAUUGCCACGUAGAUGUGUGCAAACAAAAGCAAUUUAAAUGAAGUGGGAGAAAGUGGGUGGGGAGGUGGAGUCGUACGUUGACUCAGCGUGCAACUUGGCACUUUUGGUGUUUCGUAUUGCUUUCGACCCCACCACUUUGGGUAUUUCAAAAUGCUGCCACAUUUAAAGUUUAAUUUUAAUAUAAGGUCGAGAUUAGAGAAUAUUGUCACACCAUAAAAAAAAAUGCCUUUUUCUUUUUUACGAGGAAUAAAAAAGGUUUUGUUUAAUGCUACUUUUAUCAAAGAUCAGAAUUUUAGCUUUAAAUUCU